rnacentral:rRNA from 1 species
AGUGAACGCUGGCGGUAGGCCUAACACAUGCAAGUCGAACGGCAGCACAGUAAGAGCUUGCUCUUACGGGUGGCGAGUGGCGGACGGGUGAGGAAUACAUCGGAAUCUACUUUUUCGUGGGGGAUAACGUAGGGAAACUUACGCUAAUACCGCAUACGACCUACGGGUGAAAGCAGGGGAUCUUCGGACCUUGCGCGAUUGAAUGAGCCGAUGUCGGAUUAGCUAGUUGGCGGGGUAAAGGCCCACCAAGGCGACGAUCCGUAGCUGGUCUGAGAGGAUGGUCAGCCACACUGGAACUGAGACACGGUCCAGACUCCUACGGGAGGCCGCAGUGGGGAAUAUUGGACAAUGGGCGCAAGCCUGAUCCAGCCAUACCGCGUGAGUGAAGAAGGCCUUCGGGUUUUAAAGCCCUUUUGUUGGGAAAGAAAAGCAGCAGGUUAAUACCCCGAUAUUCUGACGGUACCCAAAGAAUAAGCACCGGCUAACUUCGUG